rnacentral:ncRNA from 1 species
UACUUGGUUGAUCCUGCCAAGGAAGCACACUUAGGUCAUAGAUUAAGCCAUGCAAGUGUUAGUUCAGGUAACGAAACUGCGAAUAGCUCAUUAAUACGCUCAGAAUCUAUUUGGCGGCGACCAACAGGUCUUAAAUGGAUAGCAGCAGCAACUCUGGUGCUAAUACAUGCGAUUGUUUCUCCAGAUGUGAAUUAUGGAGGAAAAGUUGACCUCAUCAGAGGCACGCCAUUCGACUGAGUGACCUAUCAGCUUGUACUUAGGGUCUUUACCUAGGUAGGCUAUCACGGGUAACGGGCGGUUACCGUCGGACUGCCGGAGAAGGCGCCUGAGAGAUAGCGACUAUAUCCACGGGUAGCAGCAGGCGCGAAACUUUCCCACUCGAGACUUUCGGAGGAGGUAAUGACCAGUUCCAUUGGUGCCUUUUGGUACUGUGGAUAGGGGUACGGUUUUCCACCGUACCGAAACCUAGCAGAGGGCCAGUCUGGUGCCAGCAGCUGCGGUAAUUCCAGCUCUGCGAGUUUGCUCCCAUAUUGUUGCAGUUAAAACGCCCGUAGUCUGAAUUGGCCAGCAAUGGUCGUACGUAUUUUUACGUUCACUGUGAACAAAUCAGGACGCUUAGAGUAUGGCCACAUGAAUGACUCAGCGCAGUAUGAAGUCUUUGUUUUCUUCCGAAAACAAGCUCAAUGAGAGCCAUCGGGGGUAGAUCUAUCUCAUGACGAGUGGUGGAAUACUUUGACUCAUGAGAGAGAAGCUGAGGCGAAGGCGUCUACCUAGAGGGUUUCUGUCGAUCAAGGGCGAGAGUAGGAGUAUCCAACAGGAUUAGAGACCCUGGUAGUUCCUACCUUAAACGAUGCCGACAGGAGUUUGUCA